GAUGAAGAACGCAGCGAAAUGCGAUACGUAAUGUGAAUUGCAGAUCUCUCAGUGAACCAUCGAAUCUUUGAACGCACAUUGCGCCCGCCAGUAUUCUGGCGGGCAUGCCUGUCCGAGCGUCAUUUCAACCAUCAAGCCCCGGGCUUGUGUUGGGGACCUGCGUCCGACGCAGGCCCUGAAAACCAGUGGCGGGCUCGCUGUCCACACCGAGCGUAGUAACUAACCUCGCUAUGGAGUGGCGCGGGCGCCUGCCGUAAAACCCCCAAUUUCACAAGGUUGACCUCGGAUCAGGUAGGAAUACCCGCUGAACUUAAGCAUAUCAAUAAGCGGAGGA
rnacentral:misc_RNA from 1 species